GAUGAACGCUGGCGGCGUGCCUAAUACAUGCAAGUCGAGCGAACGGACGAGAAGCUUGCUUCUCUGAUGUUAGCGGCGGACGGGUGAGUAACACGUGGAUAACCUACCUAUAAGACUGGGAUAACUUCGGGAAACCGGAGCUAAUACCGGAUAAUAUUUUGAACCGCAUGGUUCAAAAGUGAAAGACGGUCUUGCUGUCACUUAUAGAUGGAUCCGCGCUGCAUUAGCUAGUUGGUAAGGUAACGGCUUACCAAGGCAACGAUGCAUAGCCGACCUGAGAGGGUGAUCGGCCACACUGGAACUGAGACACGGUCCAGACUCCUACGGGAGGCAGCAGUAGGGAAUCUUCCGCAAUGGGCGAAAGCCUGACGGAGCAACGCCGCGUGAGUGAUGAAGGUCUUCGGAUCGUAAAACUCUGUUAUUGGGGAAGAACAUAUGUGUAAGUAACUGUGCACAUCUUGACGGUACCUAAUCAGAAAGCCACGGCUAACUACGUGCCAGCAGCCGCGGUAAUACGUAGGUGGCAAGCGUUAUCCGGAAUUAUUGGGCGUAAAGCGCGCGUAGGCGGUUUUUUAAGUCUGAUGUGAAAGCCCACGGCUCAACCGUGGAGGGUCAUUGGAAACUGGAAAACUUGAGUGCAGAAGAGGAAAGUGGAAUUCCAUGUGUAGCGGUGAAAUGCGCAGAGAUAUGGAGGAACACCAGUGGCGAAGGCGACUUUCUGGUCUGUAACUGACGCUGAUGUGCGAAAGCGUGGGGAUCAAACAGGAUUAGAUACCCUGGUAGUCCACGCCGUAAACGAUGAGUGCUAAGUGUUAGGGGGUUUCCGCCCCUUAGUGCUGCAGCUAACGCAUUAAGCACUCCGCCUGGGGAGUACGACCGCAAGGUUGAAACUCAAAGGAAUUGACGGGGACCCGCACAAGCGGUGGAGCAUGUGGUUUAAUUCGAAGCAACGCGAAGAACCUUACCAAAUCUUGACAUCCUUUGACAACUCUAGAGAUAGAGCCUUCCCCUUCGGGGGACAAAGUGACAGGUGGUGCAUGGUUGUCGUCAGCUCGUGUCGUGAGAUGUUGGGUUAAGUCCCGCAACGAGCGCAACCCUUAAGCUUAGUUGCCAUCAUUAAGUUGGGCACUCUAAGUUGACCGCCGGUGACAAACCGGAGGAAGGUGGGGAUGACGUCAAAUCAUCAUGCCCCUUAUGAUUUGGGCUACACACGUGCUACAAUGGACAAUACAAAGGGCAGCGAAACCGCGAGGUCAAGCAAAUCCCAUAAAGUUGUUCUCAGUUCGGAUUGUAGUCUGCAACUCGACUACAUGAAGCUGGAAUCGCUAGUAAUCGUAGAUCAGCAUGCUACGGUGAAUACGUUCCCGGGUCU
rnacentral:rRNA from 1 species